rnacentral:rRNA from 1 species
UAGGGAAUCUUGGCCAAUGGGCGAAAGCCUGAUCCAGCCAUGCCGCGUGAGUGAAGAAGGCCCUAGGGUUGUAAAGCUCUUUUGGCGGGGACGAUAAUGACGGUACCCGCAGAAUAAGCCCCGGCUAACUUCGUGCCAGCAGCCGCGGUAAUACGAAGGGGGCUAGCGUUGUUCGGAAUUACUGGGCGUAAAGCGCACGCAGGCGGAUUGGUUAGUUAGAGGUGAAUUCCCGGGGCUCAACCUCGGAAUUGCCUUUGAUACUGCCAGUCUUGAGUUCGGGAGAGGUGGGUGGAAUUCCUAGUGUAGAGGUGAAAUUCGUAGAUAUUAGGAAGAACACCGGUGGCGAAGGCGGCCAUCUGGUCCGGUACUGACGCUGAGGCGCGAAAGCGUGGGGAGCAAACAGGAUUAGAUACCCCCGUAGUCC